GGUUAAGCGACUAAGCGUACACGGUGGAUGCCCUGGCAGUCAGAGGCGAUGAAGGACGUGCUAAUCUGCGAAAAGCGUCGGUAAGGUGAUAUGAACCGUUAUAGCCGGCGAUGUCCGAAUGGGGAAACCCAGUGCAAUUCGUUGCACUAUCGUUAACUGAAUACAUAGGUUAACGAGGCGAACCGGGGGAACUGAAACAUCUAAGUACCCCGAGGAAAAGAAAUCAACCGAGAUUCCCCCAGUAGCGGCGAGCGAACGGGGAGCAGCCCAGAGUCUGAAUCAGCUUGUGUGUUAGUGGAACGGUCUGGAAAGUCCGACGGUACAGGGUGAUAGUCCCGUACACCAAAAUGCACAGGCUGUGAACUCGAAGAGUAGGGCGGGACACGUGGUAUCCUGUCUGAAUAUGGGGGGACCAUCCUCCAAGGCUAAAUACUCCUGACUGACCGAUAGUGAACCAGUACCGUGAGGGAAAGGCGAAAAGAACCCCGGCGAGGGGAGUGAAAAAGAACCUGAAACCGUGUACGUACAAGCAGUGGGAGCACCUUCGGGUGUGACUGCGUACCUUUUGUAUAAUGGGUCAGCGACUUAUAUUCUGUAGCAAGGUUAACCGUAUAGGGGAGCCGCAGGGAAACCGAGUCUUAACUGGGCGUUAAGUUGCAGGGUAUAGACCCGAAACCCGGUGAUCUAGCCAUGGGCAGGUUGAAGGUUGGGUAACACUAACUGGAGGACCGAACCGACUAAUGUUGAAAAAUUAGCGGAUGACUUGUGGCUGGGGGUGAAAGGCCAAUCAAACCGGGAGAUAGCUGGUUCUCCCCGAAAGCUAUUUAGGUAGCGCCUCGUGAACUCAUCUUCGGGGGUAGAGCACUGUUUCGGCUAGGGGGUCAUCCCGACUUACCAACCCGAUGCAAACUACGAAUACCGAAGAAUGUUAUCACGGGAGACACACGGCGGGUGCUAACGUCCGUCGUGAAGAGGGAAACAACCCAGACCGCCAGCUAAGGUCCCAAAGUCAUGGUUAAGUGGGAAACGAUGUGGGAAGGCACAGACAGCCAGGAUGUUGGCUUAGAAGCAGCCAUCAUUUAAAGAAAGCGUAAUAGCUCACUGGUCGAGUCGGCCUGCGCGGAAGAUGUAACGGGGCUAAACCAUGCACCGAAGCUGCGGCAGCGACACUAUGUGUUGUUGGGUAGGGGAGCGUUCUGUAAGCCUGCGAAGGUGACCUGUGAGGGUUGCUGGAGGUAUCAGAAGUGCGAAUGCUGACAUAAGUAACGAUAAAGCGGGUGAAAAGCCCGCUCGCCGGAAGACCAAGGGUUCCUGUCCAACGUUAAUCGGGGCAGGGUGAGUCGACCCCUAAGGCGAGGCCGAAAGGCGUAGUCGAUGGGAAACAGGUUAAUAUUCCUGUACUUGGUGUUACUGCGAAGGGGGGACGGAGAAGGCUAUGUUAGCCGGGCGACGGUUGUCCCGGUUUAAGCAUGUAGGCUGGUUAUCCAGGCAAAUCCGGAUAAUCAAGGCUGAGGUGUGAUGACGAGGCACUACGGUGCUGAAGUAACAAAUGCCCUGCUUCCAGGAAAAGCCUCUAAGCAUCAGGUAACAUUAAAUCGUACCCCAAACCGACACAGGUGGUCAGGUAGAGAAUACCAAGGCGCUUGAGAGAACUCGGGUGAAGGAACUAGGCAAAAUGGUGCCGUAACUUCGGGAGAAGGCACGCUGGUGUGUAGGUGAAGUCCCUGCGGAUGGAGCUGAGACCAGUCGAAGAUACCAGCUGGCUGCAACUGUUUAUUAAAAACACAGCACUGUGCAAACACGAAAGUGGACGUAUACGGUGUGACGCCUGCCCGGUGCCGGAAGGUUAAUUGAUGGGGUUAUCCGUAAGGAGAAGCUCUUGAUCGAAGCCCCGGUAAACGGCGGCCGUAACUAUAACGGUCCUAAGGUAGCGAAAUUCCUUGUCGGGUAAGUUCCGACCUGCACGAAUGGCGUAAUGAUGGCCAGGCUGUCUCCACCCGAGACUCAGUGAAAUUGAACUCGCUGUGAAGAUGCAGUGUACCCGCGGCAAGACGGAAAGACCCCGUGAACCUUUACUAUAGCUUGACACUGAACAUUGAGCCUUGAUGUGUAGGAUAGGUGGGAGGCUUUGAAGCGUGGACGCCAGUCUGCGUGGAGCCAACCUUGAAAUACCACCCUUUAAUGUUUGAUGUUCUAACGUUGGCCCCUGACCGGGGUUGCGGACAGUGUCUGGUGGGUAGUUUGACUGGGGCGGUCUCCUCCCAAAGCGUAACGGAGGAGCACGAAGGUUAGCUAAUCCUGGUCGGACAUCAGGAGGUUAGUGCAAUGGCAUAAGCUAGCUUGACUGCGAGCGUGACGGCGCGAGCAGGUGCGAAAGCAGGUCAUAGUGAUCCGGUGGUUCUGAAUGGAAGGGCCAUCGCUCAACGGAUAAAAGGUACUCCGGGGAUAACAGGCUGAUACCGCCCAAGAGUUCAUAUCGACGGCGGUGUUUGGCACCUCGAUGUCGGCUCAUCACAUCCUGGGGCUGAAGUAGGUCCCAAGGGUAUGGCUGUUCGCCAUUUAAAGUGGUACGCGAGCUGGGUUUAGAACGUCGUGAGACAGUUCGGUCCCUAUCUGCCGUGGGCGCUGGAGAAUUGAGGGGGGCUGCUCCUAGUACGAGAGGACCGGAGUGGACGCAUCACUGGUGUUCGGGUUGUCAUGCCAAUGGCACUGCCCGGUAGCUAAAUGCGGAAGAGAUAAGUGCUGAAAGCAUCUAAGCACGAAACUUGCCCCGAGAUGAGUUCUCCCUGAGACUUUAAGUCUCCUGAAGGAACGUUGAAGACGACGACGUUGAUAGGCCGGGUGUGUAAGCGCAGCGAUGCGUUGAGCUAACCGGUACUAAUGAACCGUGAGGCUUAACCUU
rnacentral:rRNA from 1 species